AACGAACGCUGGCGGCAGGCUUAACACAUGCAAGUCGAGCGCCCCGCAAGGGGAGCGGCAGACGGGUGAGUAACGCGUGGGAACGUACCCUUUGCUACGGAAUAGCUCCGGGAAACUGGAAUUAAUACCGUAUGUGCCCUACGGGGCAAGAUUUAUCGGGAAAGGAUCGGCCCGCGUUGGAUUAGCUAGUUGGUGGGGUAAUGGCAUACCAAGGAGACGAUCCAUAGCUGGUCUGAGAGGAUGAUCAGCCACAUUGGGAAUGAGACACGGCCCAAACUCCUACGGGAGGCAGCAGUGGGAAAUAUUGGACAAUGGGCGCAAGCCUGAUCCAGCCAUGCCGCGUGAGUGAUGAAGGCCUUAGGGUUGUAAAGCUCUUUCACCGGAGAAGAUAAUGACGGUAUCCGGAGAAGAAGCCCCGGCUAACUUCGUGCCAGCAGCCGCGGUAAUAC
rnacentral:rRNA from 1 species